CCUACGGGAGGCAGCAGUGGGGAAUAUUGCACAAUGGGCGCAAGCCUGAUGCAGCCAUGCCGCGUGUGUGAAGAAGGCCUUCGGGUUGUAAAGCACUUUCAGCGGGGAGGAAGGCGUUAAGGUUAAUAACCUUGGCGAUUGACGUUACCCGCAGAAGAAGCACCGGCUAACUCCGUGCCAGCAGCCGCGGUAAUACGGAGGGUGCAAGCGUUAAUCGGAAUUACUGGGCGUAAAGCGCACGCGGGCGGUCUGUCAAGUCGGAUGUGAAAUCCCCGGGCUCAACCUGGGAACUGCAUUCGAAACUGGCAGGCUAGAGUCUUGUAGAGGGGGGUAGAAUUCCAGGUGUAGCGGUGAAAUGCGUAGAGAUCUGGAGGAAUACCGGUGGCGAAGGCGGCCCCCUGGACAAAGACUGACGCUCAGGUGCGAAAGCGUGGGGAGCAAACAGGAUUAGAUACCCCGGUAGUC
rnacentral:rRNA from 1 species